GGAAACAGAUGCUAAUACCGCAUAACAACUUGGACCGCAUGGUCCGAGCUUGAAAGAUGGCUUCGGCUAUCACUUUUGGAUGGUCCCGCGGCGUAUUAGCUAGAUGGUGGGGUAACGGCUCACCAUGGCAAUGAUACGUAGCCGACCUGAGAGGGUAAUCGGCCACAUUGGGACUGAGACACGGCCCAAACUCCUACGGGAGGCAGCAGUAGGGAAUCUUCCACAAUGGACGAAAGUCUGAUGGAGCAACGCCGCGUGAGUGAAGAAGGGUUUCGGCUCGUAAAACUCUGUUGUUAAAGAAGAACAUAUCUGAGAGUAACUGUUCAGGUAUUGACGGUAUUUAACCAGAAAGCCACGGCUAACUACGUGCCAGCAGCCGCGGUAAUACGUAGGUGGCAAGCGUUGUCCGGAUUUAUUGGGCGUAAAGCGAGCGCAGGCGGUUUUUUAAGUCUGAUGUGAAAGCCUUCGGCUCAACCGAAGAAGUGCAUCGGAAACUGGGAAACUUGAGUG
rnacentral:rRNA from 1 species